rnacentral:rRNA from 1 species
CUCAGCAUUUAUUCUGUCCCUUUUCAUUCUUUUAAAUUAUACAAGGUUGGGCUUGGUUAGUAUUUGGAUGGGUGACCAAGAGGAAAUCCCAGGGCUGUAGAGC